GACAGUCGUGGCCUAAUGGUUAGCGUGUUGGACUUAUGAACCUGAAGGUCGUGGGUUCGAGUCUCAGGUUUGGCA